UACGUAAGGACCGAGCGUUGUCCGGAAUUAUUGGGCGUAAAGCGCGCGCAGGUGGUCUUUUAAGUCUGAUGUGAAAGCCCCCGGCUCAACCGGGGAAGGUCAUUGGAAACUGGGGAACUUGAGUGCAGAAGAGGAGAGUGGAAUUCCAUGUGUAGCGGUGAAAUGCGUAGAUAUAUGGAGGAACACCAGUGGCGAAGGCGACUCUCUGGUCUGUAACUGACGCUGAGGCUCGAAAGCGUGGGGAGCAAACAGG
rnacentral:rRNA from 1 species